rnacentral:rRNA from 1 species
CUACCACGUCGAUAGGUCGGGUGUGGAAGUGCAGUAAUGCAUGAAGCUAACCGAUACUAAUAACCUAAUCGGCUUGAUCUC